CCUACGGGAGGCAGCAGUGAGGAAUAUUGGUCAAUGGCCGUAAGGCUGAACCAGCCAAGUAGCGUGAGGGAAGACUGCCCUAUGGGUUGUAAACCUCUUUUAUGCGGGGAUAAAGGUGUCCACGUGUGGCUGUUUGCAGGUACCGCAUGAAUAAGGACCGGCUAAUUCCGUGCCAGCAGCCGCGGUAAUACGGAAGGUCCGGGCGUUAUCCGGAUUUAUUGGGUUUAAAGGGAGCGUAGGCCGGUCUUUAAGCGUGCCGUGAAAUUUGUGGGCUCAAACAUGAGAGUGCGGCGCGAACUGGAGACCUUGAGUGCGCGGAAGGCAGGCGGAAUUCGUGGUGUAGCGGUGAAAUGCUUAGAUAUCACGAAGAACCCCGAUUGCGAAGGCAGCCUGCCGCAGCGUUACUGACGCUGAAGCUCGAAAGCGCGGGUAUCGAACAGGAUUAGAUACCCUUGUAGUC
rnacentral:rRNA from 1 species